rnacentral:rRNA from 1 species
UACGUAGGGUGCAAGCGUUAAUCGGAAUUACUGGGCGUAAAGCGUGCGCAGGCGGCUAUGCAAGACAGAUGUGAAAUCCCCGGGCUCAACCUGGGAACUGCAUUUGUGACUGCAUAGCUAGAGUACGGUAGAGGGGGAUGGAAUUCCGCGUGUAGCAGUGAAAUGCGUAGAUAUGCGGAGGAACACCGAUGGCGAAGGCAAUCCCCUGGACCUGUACUGACGCUCAUGCACGAAAGGCGU